rnacentral:rRNA from 1 species
GGUUAAGCGAACAAGCGUACACGGUGGAUGCCCUGGCAGUCAGAGGCGAUGAAGGACGUGCUAAUCUGCGAAAAGCGCCGGUAAGGUGAUAUGAACCGUUAUAACCGGCGAUGUCCGAAUGGGGAAACCCGGUGCACUUCGGUGCAUCAUCGUUAGCUGAAUACAUAGGCUAACGAGGCGAACCGGGGGAACUGAAACAUCUAAGUACCCCGAGGAAAAGAAAUCAACCGAGAUUCCCCCAGUAGCGGCGAGCGAACGGGGAACAGCCCAGAGCCUGAAUCAGCUUGUGUGUCAGUGGAACGGUCUGGAAAGGCCGGCGAUACAGGGUGACAGCCCCGUACACGAAGGCACACAGGCUGUGAGCUCGAUGAGUAGGGCGGGACACGUGAUAUCCUGUCUGAAGAUGGGGGGACCAUCCUCCAAGGCUAAAUACUCCUGACUGACCGAUAGUGAACCAGUACCGUGAGGGAAAGGCGAAAAGAACCCCGGCGAGGGGAGUGAAACAGAACCUGAAACCGUGUACGUACAAGCAGUGGGAGCCUUCGUAAGAGGGUGACUGCGUACCUUUUGUAUAAUGGGUCAGCGACUUAUAUUCUGUAGCAAGGUUAACCGUAUAGGGGAGCCGAAGGGAAACCGAGUCUUAACCGGGCGUUAAGUUGCAGGGUAUAGACCCGAAACCCGGUGAUCUAGCCAUGGGCAGGUUGAAGGUUGGGUAACACUAACUGGAGGACCGAACCGACUAAUGUUGAAAAAUUAGCGGAUGACCUGUGGCUGGGGGUGAAAGGCCAAUCAAACCGGGAGAUAGCUGGUUCUCCCCGAAAGCUAUUUAGGUAGCGCCUCGUGAACUCAUCUCCGGGGGUAGAGCACUGUUUCGGCUAGGGGGCCAUCCCGGCUUACCAACCCGAUGCAAACUGCGAAUACCGGAGAAUGUUAUCACGGGAGACACACGGCGGGUGCUAACGUCCGUCGUGAAGAGGGAAACAACCCAGACCGCCAGCUAAGGUCCCAAAGUCAUGGUUAAGUGGGAAACGAUGUGGGAAGGCCCAGACAGCCAGGAUGUUGGCUUAGAAGCAGCCAUCAUUUAAAGAAAGCGUAAUAGCUCACUGGUCGAGUCGGCCUGCGCGGAAGAUGUAACGGGGCUAAACCAUGCACCGAAGCUGCGGCAGCGACGCUUAUGCGUUGUUGGGUAGGGGAGCGUUCUGUAAGCCUGCGAAGGUGUGCUGUGAGGCAUGCUGGAGGUAUCAGAAGUGCGAAUGCUGACAUAAGUAACGAUAAAGCGGGUGAAAAGCCCGCUCGCCGGAAGACCAAGGGUUCCUGUCCAACGUUAAUCGGGGCAGGGUGAGUCGACCCCUAAGGCGAGGCCGAAAGGCGUAGUCGAUGGGAAACAGGUUAAUAUUCCUGUACUUGGUGUUACUGCGAAGGGGGGACGGAGAAGGCUAUGUCGGCCGGGCGACGGUUGUCCCGGUUUAAGCGUGUAGGCUGACUUUCCAGGCAAAUCCGGAAGGUUAAGGCUGAGGCGUGAUGACGAGGCACUACGGUGCUGAAGUGACAAAUGCCCUGCUUCCAGGAAAAGCCUCUAAGCAUCAGGUAACAUCAAAUCGUACCCCAAACCGACACAGGUGGUCAGGUAGAGAAUACCAAGGCGCUUGAGAGAACUCGGGUGAAGGAACUAGGCAAAAUGGUGCCGUAACUUCGGGAGAAGGCACGCUGACAUGUAGGUGAAGCCCCUGCGGGUGGAGCUGAAGUCAGUCGAAGAUACCAGCUGGCUGCAACUGUUUAUUAAAAACACAGCACUGUGCAAACACGAAAGUGGACGUAUACGGUGUGACGCCUGCCCGGUGCCGGAAGGUUAAUUGAUGGGGUUAUCGCAAGAGAAGCUCCUGAUCGAAGCCCCGGUAAACGGCGGCCGUAACUAUAACGGUCCUAAGGUAGCGAAAUUCCUUGUCGGGUAAGUUCCGACCUGCACGAAUGGCGUAAUGAUGGCCAGGCUGUCUCCACCCGAGACUCAGUGAAAUUGAACUCGCUGUGAAGAUGCAGUGUACCCGCGGCAAGACGGAAAGACCCCGUGAACCUUUACUACAGCUUGACACUGAACAUUGAGCCUUGAUGUGUAGGAUAGGUGGGAGGCUUUGAAGCGUGGACGCCAGUCUGCGUGGAGCCGACCUUGAAAUACCACCCUUUAAUGUUUGAUGUUCUAACCUGGCGCCAUAAUCUGGCGUGGGGACAGUGUCUGGUGGGUAGUUUGACUGGGGCGGUCUCCUCCCAAAGUGUAACGGAGGAGCACGAAGGUCAGCUAAUCCUGGUCGGACAUCAGGAGGUUAGUGCAAUGGCAUAAGCUGGCUUGACUGCGAGAGUGACGGCUCGAGCAGGUGCGAAAGCAGGUCAUAGUGAUCCGGUGGUUCUGUAUGGAAGGGCCAUCGCUCAACGGAUAAAAGGUACUCCGGGGAUAACAGGCUGAUACCGCCCAAGAGUUCAUAUCGACGGCGGUGUUUGGCACCUCGAUGUCGGCUCAUCACAUCCUGGGGCUGAAGUAGGUCCCAAGGGUAUGGCUGUUCGCCAUUUAAAGUGGUACGCGAGCUGGGUUUAGAACGUCGUGAGACAGUUCGGUCCCUAUCUGCCGUGGGCGCUGGAGAAUUGAGGGGGGCUGCUCCCAGUACGAGAGGACCGGAGUGGACGCAUCACUGGUGUUCGGGUUGUCAUGCCAAUGGCACUGCCCGGUAGCUAAAUGCGGAAGAGAUAAGUGCUGAAAGCAUCUAAGCACGAAACUUGCCCCGAGAUGAGUUCUCCCUGACUCCUUGAGAGUCCUGAAGGAACGUUGAAGACGACGACGUUGAUAGGCCGGGUGUGUAAGCGCAGCGAUGCGUUGAGCUAACCGGUACUAAUGAACCGUGAGGCUUAACCUU